rnacentral:rRNA from 1 species
GCGGCGCAUUAUCUAGUUGGUGAGGUAACGGCUCACCAAGGCAACGAUGCGUAGCCGACCUGAGAGGGUGAUCGGCCACACUGGGACUGAGACACGGCCCAGACUCCUACGGGAGGCAGCAGUAGGGAAUCUUCCGCAAUGGACGAAAGUCUGACGGAGCAACGCCGCGUGAGUGAUGAAGGUUUUCGGAUCGUAAAGCUCUGUUGUUAGGGAAGAACAAGUACCGUUCGAAUAGGGCGGUACCUUGACGGUACCCAAACCAGAAAGCCGGGGGGAACUACGUGCCAGCAGCCGCGGUAAUACGUAGGUGGCAAGCGUUGUCCGGAAUUAUUGGGCGUAAAGGGCUC